UUGACAUGUUUGAUUAUUCAAAAUUGAAGCACCGAAUAUAAUAAUUUCAAAAAAUAAUGUUUUAUUUAAUUGUUCGCUUUAUAAAAUUGAAUAUGAAAAUUAGAGUCCGGCUGGCUGGGAUACUUCGAAUCGCGCCAAAAAUUUAGUACUAUUAAGUUUUCCAUCAUUGACCACAUUUUAAAUCACGCUAUUCGGUCAACGUUAUUAUUUUUCAUCCCUACUAAAUCUUAAGAAAAUUCUAAAACAUCAUUAUCAUCCCAACGUUAUUAUUUUUCAUCCAAUAGUUAUAAACUUAGUAGUAAAAAGGCCCAAAUAUUAUUAAAACAUUCUAGACGAAUUCUAAAAGUUACUUCACAAAAGUAGGUUAAUGAAGUGAAUUUUAACCAAGAAUUUAAAUGCCCAUCGGUACGGGCCGUAUUUACCAUGCCGUAUCGUGCCAAUAAAAUAUCGACACGAUAUAGUUUCCGUGCCGAUGGCACGGCUCAAAACUCUCUAUUCUACAAAUUAAUAAUUAAUUUUUUUUCAAAAAAGUUCAAAAGAUUUGAUAAAAAUAUAUAAUAAAGAUACAUUAUGUGUCAACACGCAUAUAUUUUUUGUGACCAGCGCGCAUCAGUACAGCCUAACACGCACCGUAUCGUACCGUGCAGACAACUUCUUGGCAUGGCCACAACACGGCACUUAAAUACAUAUUUAUAACUAAAUCACAUUUUUUUUCAAUUUUUAUUCAUAAAAUUUAGAAAUUACCGAAAGUAGAGAACUUACAAAAAAAAUAUAUUUGGUUUUAACUUUAAUCUUUAAAUUUAGUUUUAAUAU
rnacentral:lncRNA from 1 species